AUUGAACGCUGGCGGCAGGCUUAACACAUGCAAGUCGAGCGGAGAUGAGGUGCUUGCACCUUAUCUUAGCGGCGGACGGGUGAGUAAUGCUUAGGAAUCUGCCUAUUAGUGGGGGACAACAUUCCGAAAGGAAUGCUAAUACCGCAUACGCUCUACGGGGGAAAGCAGGGGAUCUUCGGACCUUGCGCUAAUAGAUGAGCCUAAGUCGGAUUAGCUAGUUGGUGGGGGAAAGGCCUACCAAGGCGACGAUCUGUAGCGGGUCUGAGAGGAUGAUCCGCCACACUGGGACUGAGACACGGCCCAGACUCCUACGGGAGGCAGCAGUGGGGAAUAUUGGACAAUGGGCGGAAGCCUGAUCCAGCCAUGCCGCGUGUGUGAAGAAGGCCUUUUGGUUGUAAAGCACUUUAAGCGAGGAGGAGGCUACCUGGAUUAAUACUCUAGGAUAGUGGACGUUACUCGCAGAAUAAGCACCGGCUAACUCUGUGCCAGCAGCCGCAGUAAGAC
rnacentral:rRNA from 1 species